ensembl:lncRNA
CUAAGCUAGAGGCCUUGAGAAUGGCGGACAGGUCUACCCAUCUCGAGCACGAGCGCCCGCGUUCGCGCCACGGCUCCGGAGCUGCCGAAGGGGGCGCUGUUCUUCCCUGCUUCCGGUUAGAUCGAGAUUCAUACGUGCAUCCUGAUGAUGCUGGUGGCACUUCCUUCAAGUUCAAGAUCUGGACUCAGUUUGAUUGGCUUCCAGUGGAUAAAUUCCCACCCCCAGAGGAAAGAUGGAAAUUUUGGAGAAGAAUGAUUGAUUAUUGCCUGAGAGAUCUGGACUGCGUAAAUGAAUUAAAGAUGCAGUUCUGCAAUCUCUUUCCAUUUCCUUUAGCAGACAUGACAGGGAAGAUUCCUGGGAGAUCUGAAUGAAUCCUCUUGCUGUAUGCCCUAGAUCUUGCUGCCUAGGAGAUGUACAACUGGCAUAUCAAAUAGGUGGAGAGUACCUGAACUGUGUCUAAAAAUAGGAACUCUGUGAAAUUCAAAGGGAGAAACUUGAAAUAGUCUGAAUAACAAACAGAUUUUCAUAUCAAUUUUACUUAAGAAGAAGAGUUAAGAAUAUCCUGAGUCCCUUUUCAUCUUGACUACAGUAAACCGAGGAAGCAAUCAUGGACAACAGAAGAGGAAAGGUAUCACAGAACACUUUUCAAAAACAUGAUAUGAUUUUGAGAUCAUUUAAUCAAAAUUAUUCAGAAGUAAUGCUUUUUCCAGCAUUAAAUCAGAAUGUUUUCCUGCUAAAAAUGGUUAUGCUACUGAUUUCACGUCUGCUAUGCCAACAUGGAUAGGUAGCAUUGCUGCUGCCUGUAUGCUGUGGUCAUCUAUUCUCCCUGAGGCCUCUCUUCACUCUUACUGGCUGAGUGAAUGAGUAACUGAUGGAUCUGUGUCUCUGGAUCACAGCCAGCACCCUGGUCAACCCUCCUAACUCGUCUACUUCAGUCAUUUAACAGAAAGGCCGUAACCACAGUGCAACUGGGAUGUGGCUGCAGGUCUUGUUUUGAUUGUCUUUGAGCACAGAAUGUCCUGCUGUGCAUGCUUUUGUUCUCCUUCAUGUAUCCUCCAACAGUAUCCAGCUAAUUAAUUGCACAGUAGGCUGUGAUGCCCCUAGUGCUUCACAUAAUGAGUAGGGCUGCUUUUCUUUGACCAGUAAUAUCAUUUAGAAAUUUAUAUUUCAAGAUUGACAAGAUGCUUUUGGUAAGUUCUGUAUGCUUGUUUUAGGAAAAAAAA